GACGAACGCUGGCGGCGUGCUUAACACAUGCAAGUCGAACGGGAUUUAGUAGACAGAAGCCUCGGCUAAAGAUUACUAAUGAGAGUGGCGAACGGGUGAGUAACGCGUGAGCAACCUGCCUAUGACAGUGGGAUAGCCUCGGGAAACCGGGAUUAAUACCGCAUAAAAUCGUAGAAACACAUGUUUCAACGGUCAAAGAUUUAUCGGUCAUAGAUGGGCUCGCGUCUGAUUAGCUAGUUGGUGAGAUAACAGCCCACCAAGGCGACGAUCAGUAGCCGGUCUGAGAGGAUGAACGGCCACAUUGGAACUGAGACACGGUCCAAACUCCUACGGGAGGCAGCAGUGGGGAAUAUUGCACAAUGGGGGAAACCCUGAUGCAGCGACGCCGCGUGAACGAAGAAGGUAUUCGUAUCGUAAAGUUCUGUCCUAUGGGAAGAUAAUGACAGUACCAUAGAAGAAAGCGCCGGCUAAAUACGUG
rnacentral:rRNA from 1 species